CAGCGCGUAGCUCACUGCAGCGCUGUAGCCAGGGUAGCUCCCCACCUGCGCCUUUGGGUCAUGGGUCGCCAUGAGAGCGACAGCCAUUAGCGGGGCCUGGUGUUGUUGCCUUCCUGGUGCCCCCCCCCCCUUCUCCAAGGUGUACAGCGUCGCCUCAUUUUAGGUUAAUCGUCGGGGCGACGAUUCAAAAGCCUUGGGAAGAAUGUAGCAGGACUAGGUCCACGCCCCUUAGACAGCUCGGCAAUGCCCUUCUGAGUGGCUCUGGGAAAUUGGAGGUGAGCCAAUCAGCACGUGGGAGCGGCUAUAAGGUUUUAGCUUUUACGUUGAAGGCUAGCGUCGUAGCUACAUUGUUUGCUUGACUCCAGCCUUCACCGCUCCCCGUAUUGGCUUCGCCUCUGGCCGGUUCCGUGUGUCCGCCGACUUCUCGGAGUGCAGCUAGUCACUGAACAUGGGCCUUAUGACUGACCACAGCAGAGCGCAGAUCUCGGGCGUAACAGGGAGCGGCAACAUCAAGGCACCUUGGUUCCGGUUCGAACGCUGCUGUUUUGUUUAGUUCUGUUUUGUGUUUGUGUUUGUUUCAUUCCGUUUGUGAGUCGGCUGUGUUUAGCCACCACGAAGUCAGCCCUCAUUGAUUAACUGAAGUGACGACAGGUGUGCUGCUGUUUGCUCACGAGUGACUACGAAUUCAGUUCGGUUAUGGAGGCUAAUUCCUUAGCUUGUUGCACUGCGUGUCAUGAUUUGUCACCAUAAGCCUGCGUGAGUGAUUGUGAUGAUUACACUGUUUGCUGUGACAACUGAGU